rnacentral:lncRNA from 1 species
UUAUUUCUGAGCCUAUGCUGCUCUUCAAUCCUAAUGGAGUUUAAGACUUGGGUUAGGGUGAGAACUCCUUGGGUAUGGCUCAGGGUCUUGGCAAAAUCAAACCAGGAAGUAGGUAGUUUAUCUAUCAGACAGGCUACCUGGAAUGAUUCAUCCAAAUUGGUUCCAUUAGCCCUAAGCUGGUGGAUCAGGGUUUCAAAUUCAUGAAUUUGGUCAUUCAUAGGCUUUGAGUCCACCAUCCUAAACUUAUUGAAAUCGGAGGCCUUGAACCUCUUUACCCCACCAUCAUCAAGACCAUAUUUGCUAUCUAGGGUGUCCCAG